UACCUCAUCAACCAGAAGGAAUCCCUUCCGUUUGGUGAGGUAUAACAAUCUCAUUGACCAGAGGGAAUCCCUUCCAGUCAAAGGGAGAUUACAACCCCAUCAACCGGAAGGGCUUUCUUCCGGUCAAUGAGAUUGCUAUACCUCAUCAACCAGAAGGAAUUCCUUCUGGUUGAUGAGGUU
rnacentral:miRNA from 1 species